rnacentral:rRNA from 1 species
AAAUUGAAGAGUUUGAUCAUGGCUCAGAUUGAACGCUGGCGGCAGGCCUAACACAUGCAAGUCGAACGGUAACAGGAAGCGCUUGCUGCUUCGCUGACGAGUGGCGGACGGGUGAGUAAUGUCUGGGAAACUGCCUGAUGGAGGGGGAUAACUACUGGAAACGGUAGCUAAUACCGCAUAACGUCGCAAGACCAAAGAGGGGGACCUUCGGGCCUCUUGCCAUCGGAUGUGCCCAGAUGGGAUUAGCUUGUUGGUGGGGUAACGGCUCACCAAGGCGACGAUCCCUAGCUGGUCUGAGAGGAUGACCAGCCACACUGGAACUGAGACACGGUCCAGACUCCUACGGGAGGCAGCAGUGGGGAAUAUUGCACAAUGGGCGCAAGCCUGAUGCAGCCAUGCCGCGUGUAUGAAGAAGGCCUUCGGGUUGUAAAGUACUUUCAGCGGGGAGGAAGGGAGUAAAGUUAAUACCUUUGCUCAUUGACGUUACCCGCAGAAGAAGCACCGGCUAACUCCGUGCCAGCAGCCGCGGUAAUACGGAGGGUGCAAGCGUUAAUCGGAAUUACUGGGCGUAAAGCGCACGCAGGCGGUUUGUUAAGUCAGAUGUGAAAUCC